rnacentral:rRNA from 1 species
UAGCUAGUUGGUGAGGUAAAGGCUUACCAAGGCGACGAUCUGUAGCGGGUCUGAGAGGAUGAUCCGCCACACUGGAACUGAGACACGGUCCAGACUCCUACGGGAGGCAGCAGUGGGGAAUUUUGGACAAUGGGGGCAACCCUGAUCCAGCCAUGCCGCUUGAGUGAAGAAGGCCUUCGGGUUGUAAAGCUCUUUCGGCCGGGAAGAAAUCGCAUGGGCCAAUACCCUGUGUGGAUGACGGUACCGGAAUAAGAAGCACCGGCUAACUACGUGCCAGCAGCCGCGGUAAUACGUAGGGUGCGAGCGUUAAUCGGAAUUACUGGGCGUAAAGCGUGCGCAGGCGGUUUUGUAAGACAGGCGUGAAAUCCCCGGGCUUAACCUGGGAACUGCGUUUGUGACUGCAAGGCUAGAGUACGGCAGAGGGGGGUGGAAUUCCACGUGUAGCAGUGAAAUGCGUAGAGAUGUGGAGGAACACCAAUGGCGAGGGCAGCCCCCUGGGUCGAUACUGACGCUCAUGCACGAAAGCGUGGGUAGCAAACAGGAUUAGAUACCCUGGUAGUCCACGCCCUAAACUGUGUCAACUAGGUGUUGGGUGGGUAAAACCAUUUAGUACCGUAGCUAACGCGUGAAGUUGACCGCCUGGGGAGUACGGCCGCAAGGUUAAAACUCAAAGGAAUUGACGGGGACCCGCACAAGCGGUGGAUGAUGUGGAUUAAUUCGAUGCAACGCGAAAACCUUACCUACCCUUGACAUGCCAGGAACUUGCCAGAGAUGGCUUGGUGCCCGAAAGGGAGCCUGGACACAGGUGCUGCAUGGCUGUCGUCAGCUCGUGUCGUGAGAUGUUGGGUUAAGUCCCGCAACGAGCGCAACCCUUGUCGUUAAUUGCCAUCAUUUGGUUGGGCACUUUAACGAGACUGCCGGUGACAAACCGGAGGAAGGUGGGGAUGACGUCAAGUCCUCAUGGCCCUUAUGGGUAGGGCUUCACACGUCAUACAAUGGUCGGUACAAAGGGUUGCCAAGCCGCGAGGCGGAGCCAAUCCCAGAAAGCCGAUCGUAGUCCGGAUUGCAGGCUGCAACUCGCCUGCAUGAAGUCGGAAUCGCUAGUAAUCGUGGAUCAGCAUGUCACGGUGAAUACGUUCCCGGGUCUUGUACACACCGCCCGUCACACCAUGGGAGCGGGUUCCGCCAGAAGUAGGUAGCCUAACCGCAAGGGGGGCGCUUACCACGGCGGGGUUCGUGACUGGGGUGAAGUCGAAACAAGGUAGCCGUAGGGGAACCUGCGGCUG